rnacentral:misc_RNA from 2 species
CCGAGUUCUCGCCCCUCGCGGGGUAGACCUCCCACCCACUGUGAUCACUACCGUCGUUGCUUUGGCGGGCCGCUGGGCCCAGCCCACCGCCGGCUCCGGCUGGCGCGUGCCCGCCAGAGGCCCUACAAACGCUGGAUAUCAGUGCCGUCUGAGUACACAUGUUAAUCGUUA